AAUUUUCAUAUUUUUUGUAGAGACAAGGUUUCUCCAUGUGGCCCAGGCUGGUCUCAUAAACAACUCUUAUCUGUGUUCCCAGUGAGGAUGCUCAGUUAUGAAACUGCACACCUCUGGGUUGCAAGACCUGAUGGAGACUUUGUCUUGCCAUCAACAUGAACAAAAGAGCAGUAUCUGACAAGAAACUCUUAUGCUUCUCUAAGCUUCUGCAGUUUUAUGAUGUCCUACGAGAUCCAUCCAGGAAGGA
rnacentral:lncRNA from 1 species